rnacentral:rRNA from 1 species
UGAGGAAUAUUGGGCAAUGCCCGCAAGGGUGACCCAGCAACGCCGCGUGGAGGAUGAAUGUCGUAAGAUUGUAAACUCCUGUUAGAGGGGAAGAAUAGUACCGGUUGGACCGGUAUAUGACUGUACCCUCAGAGAAAGCCCCGGCUAACUACGUGCCAGCAGCCGCGGUAAUACGUAGGGGGCAAGCGUUGUCCGGAUUUACUGGGUGUAAAGGGCGCGCAGGCGGGAUAAAAAGUCAGUGAUGAAAUCCUACAGCUUAACUGUAGAACUGCCUUUGAUACUUUUAUUCUUGAGUUCGGGAGAGAGAGACGGAAUUCCAGGUGUAGUGGUGAAAUACGUAGAUAUCUGGAAGAACACCAGUUGCGAAGGCGGUCUCUUGAUCCGACACUGACGCUGAGGCGCGAAAGCGUGGGGAGCAAACA